rnacentral:lncRNA from 1 species
AUGGGCUGCCUGGUUUUCAAUUCAGCCUUGGGAACCCCAGGACAAGAGAGGUCUCUGUCCACCUAUCCUUUCCAUGGCCCCAGUUCCUCUAGCCGCACACUCAGAGGGACUCUGGCCUCUGCUCUCCCUUCCGCAACCCAGUCUGCCUGGGUCCCUCACCCAGUUUCACACACCUUCACCCACUGGGGCCCUCUCUACCUGGAUAGCACACUCUGCUGGCUGGUGGUAGGAGGGAGAUUAUCACAAGGGAUGGGACCAGCUCCUGGGUGGGGGGAUGGAAGAGGGAAGGUGGGGUGUACACAUGAGUGCCUGCACCCUGCUUCCCUCACCCUGCCCACCUCUCUUCUGCUGGCCUUCACCUCUCCCGUUCAGCACCUUGGGCAGAUGAAGAUGGGGUUGCCAUGGAAACUACCUCUUGGGGUGAACCCAGGGAGGGCAGGAGGCCACAGGGACAGAAUCUGCCCCCAGCACCAACCUCUGCCGCCAACCUGCUGUCAGGGACCCAGGGAGUCUGUUCCACAUCUCCCCAGCCUACAGCUGAACCUGGGACCUCCUGGUCUGCUGCACUGGGAAACCCCUUCCCACCUCCCGGGUCAGCAUGGUGGUGGUGAGGACACUCCUGUCUCCUCCCCAGAAGCCCAGGAUGGAGGCGGCCGCCUCCUGAGCAGCCCCCACUGCCUCCACUCCAAAGCCAGCUCCCAGGCCCAGCCCUGCCCAUCCAGCUGCGUGGAUACUGCCUUAGCCACCAGCCUUGAGAUAACGCUCCAGGCUGGCACCCACAUGGCACGACUGCCUGGCUGCCUAGGGUGCACCACAUUGGUGCACAUGCUGCAUGCAUACAAGGCCCUGUGCCUGCGUGGGAACUGGGUGAUGGAGGUUUGCCAGGCAGGGGCCAUGUUCCCCAACACUGCAGUCUGCCCAUGUUGCCCUGCCCUCCUCCGUCCAGCACCCUUUCUCCAUCUGUCCCAGGAAGUCUCUGGGAGUGCCCUGCCUCCCUCCUCCAUCUUUGCUGGCUCCCCAAGGCUGCAUCCCUUCCUUGCUCCCUCCUUCCUCUUUUCAUUGAUUAAAUAG